UGAUAAUUUACAUAUAGAAUUCUGCUCUGACUGAUUCUGCAUUUUGUCCGCCGUAUUUACAUAUCCGUACUAUUUUGUAUCCAAAUUGCAGGCAAAAGCCAUAAUGAUCCAUAAUGUCUGGCCGUAUAUAUGCAGGAGCAAUAACACACGAUUAUAUAUUCGAUUUGCAAUCCGUAUAAUGAUUAAUGUGCUUUUAAUUAAGAAUACAAUAUUGUAUUUAUUUAUUGAAAAAAUACUAUGAAACUGCUAUAUGUGUGAGAUUUACUAAAUGUGGCGCAAGAGUGAAGCGAAUUGUGUGAGACUCACGCCGAAUGCUUGAGAGUUGAGAGGUCUGGUACAGGCAGGGAUGGAUUUACUGGGGGGUGUGCACCCCCCUAGCCCUGGCCAGAGGGGGUGCAGGGGGGGGGUGCUAUUUUUCAUGAUAAAGCAAAAAAUUAUUAGAGACAAAAUCAGAUACAG